UCCGAGUUGACCCCGGCAGUCUCCUGCGAGUCCCCGCCAUUACGCGCUGGCAACACAGGACAAGGGUUGCGCUCGUUGCGGGACUUAACCCAACAUCUCACGACACGAGCUGACGACAGCCAUGCACCACCUGUGCACAGGCCCCGAAGGACACCAUAUCUCUAUGGCUUUUCCGUACAUUUCAAGCCUUGGUAAGGUGGGGAUGACGUAUUGGAAG
rnacentral:misc_RNA from 1 species